UGAGGAAUAUUGGUCAAUGGGCGAGAGCCUGAACCAGCCAAGUCGCGUGAAGGAAGAAGGAUCUAUGGUUCGUAAACUUCUUUUUUAGGGGAAUAAAGUGCGGUACGUGUACCGUUUUGUAUGUACCCUACGAAUAAGGAUCGGCUAACUCCGUGCCAGCAGCCGCGGUAAUACGGAGGAUCCGAGCGUUAUCCGGAUUUAUUGGGUUUAAAGGGUGCGUAGGCGGGUUUUUAAGUCAGUGGUGAAAGUUUGCAGCUCAACUGUAAAAUUGCCAUUGAAACUGAAGACCUUGAGUGUAAAUGAGGUAGGCGGAAUGUGUUGUGUAGCGGUGAAAUGCUUAGAUAUGACACAGAACACCGAUUGCGAAGGCAGCUUACUAAGAUACAACUGACGCUGAGGCACGAAAGCGUGGGGAUCGAACA
rnacentral:rRNA from 1 species